rnacentral:lncRNA from 1 species
CAGUCUCCAAAAUCACUAAUUAGUAGAGGGGGUGCUGCUACGAUACAGGGUAUUAACUCGAUCGCUAUUACGAUUCAUUUUCCGACCAAUCAAUAUAUCCAAUGGAUGUUUAAGUGCCGCCCACAUUAGGGUUAUACUUUGUCAUUCGUCGUUAAUUCGAUGGAUGUUUAAGUAUCGCACUUUGUCGUUCGUUGUGAGAAUUUGAUCUCGUGAGUUAUCGUAAUUGUUGUAUUAAGUUACCUACCUAGUUCGUAUGCACUAGGUUACAAGGCUAAAUCAAUAGGCUAAGCUCUGCCUGUAUAAAUCUGCAAUAUAUCAAGGCUUAUCUGUAAACUAAACUUUGGACGUAUGAAUCUGCAUGAUUAUAAUGUAAUUACAGUAGAUUGGAGUAAGGAUUGGAUCCGGCACUAAAAGACUUCAAGAAGUGGCUUAUUUUAUUAAUUAAAUCAAAUUAAGAAAUAUUGUUUUUAUUAAAAGCUACCUUUGUAAAACAUGAAAUUUAUUCCAUCUAUUUAAAUAA